UCAAAUGCAGUUUAAUAAUAGCACCAGAUCACAGGGAGAAGCCAUUUAAAUGAGGCUAGAAAGGAGAACACGGCGUCUAUUUGCCUUUUAUCGCUGAUUAUUUGAACGAGAACAAAGCCGUACUCUGAAAAAUAUUCCAUCUUAGUUCUGUUUAACAUUUCAAGUCCUUCUAUGCAGCAUAAACUCUUAAUAACACUAAGAAAAACAACAAAGCAGGUUUGCAUGAAACAUGGCCUUGCAUAAGACCGUAGAGGAAAAAAACUGGCAUUUGGAUUUGCACAAUCGAGUCACUUCAAAGCCUGAACAGCUCAACCUUAAAGUAACAGAUCACCAGCUCCAUUAAAGGUCAGUGAUUAUAUUAAAUACCAACAUGUAAAUAAAUUAACAUCAACGGACUUUUUCCUGACUGUUACUGAUUAUAUUUGCUCUGCAGUUCUGUAAAGUGGCUAAAACAAUUCAAGGGUUUUGCAGAUAUUUAUUUCUACACGAGUCCUCUAAGGUCUAAACUUUGACUGACCACCUGAAUUGAUUUAUUUUUUGUUGUAGAUUUACAGCAUUUUAGUUUGUUUUAUUUUAACCAGAGAUAUAUCAAGUGAUUACAUUUAUUGUAAAAUCUCUUCCUUGCAUAGUCUGAAGAGUAAAAAUUAUAGUUACUUAAUAAAAACAUGAAGAUUGAUUUCUUUAAAGAAGUAAUUAUCACAAUUUUUAGUAGUUAUAUAGUCUAGAAAUUGAUCUAGGACUUUUACAAUAUCACCACCUGCUAGUUUUAUCCUUGCAGUGUUUAUAAAAAAAAUUAAUUGAAACAGUUGAAAUGUUAAAUAGCUGCAGCGAUUAGCACAAGAAAAAUUGCAAUCACAAAAUUUUAAGUAUAUUUGUAAUGUGGUUGUAACAGAACCUCAACUGCUAAAGAAACAUGCAGAAUAUGAACCACUUAGACUGCAAAGUGUAUGGAAAGCUAGAAGUGCCACAGUCUUUAAAAAAAA